GACGAACGCUGGCGGCGUGCUUAACACAUGCAAGUCGAACGAAGUGGCGAACGGGUGAGUAACGCGUAAUCAACCUGCCCUUCAGAGGGGGACAACAGUUGGAAACGACUGCUAAUACCGCAUACUGAAGGAGGGGAUUGCGUCUGAUUAGCCAGUUGGAGGGGUAACGGCCCCACAAGGCGAUGAUCAGUAGCCGGUCUGGAGGUAUGAACUGCCACAUUGUGACUGAGACACGGCCCAGACUCCUACGGGAGGCAGCAGUGGGGAAUCUUCGGCAAUGGGGGGAAUCCUGACCGAGCAACGCCGCGUGAGUGAAGACGGUUUUCGGGUCAUAAAGCUCUGUUGUUAAGGACGCGGUACUUAACCAGAAAGCCACGGCUAACUACGUGCCAGCAGCCGCGGUAAUAC
rnacentral:rRNA from 1 species